AUGCUUGCUUUGAAAGCAUAUAUACUAAAAUUGGAAUGAUACAGAGAAGACUAGCAUGGGCCCUGUGCAAGGAUGACACGUAGAAAUCUCCUAUCUACUUUU